UACAGAGGUGGCAAGCGUUGUUCGGAAUUACUGGGCGUAAAGGGCGCGUAGGCGGCCCACUAAGUCAGACGUGAAAUCCCCCGGCUUAACCUGGGAACUGCGUCUGAUACUGGAGGGCUUGAGUAUGGGAGAGGGAUGUAGAAUUCCAGGUGUAGCGGUGAAAUGCGUAGAUAUCUGGAGGAAUACCGGUGGCGAAGGCGGCAUCCUGGACCAUUACUGACACUCAGGUGCGACAGCGUGGGGAGCAAACAGG
rnacentral:rRNA from 1 species